GCCAGUUUCCUGUUAGCAUACCUUUUAUGUGCAGAGGUGGCUUGCCUUUGGUCCUGCUGCUGGCUCAGUCUGAUUGGAGUGUGGGUUUGGGUCUCUUCAUGUUCGCCCCCUGCAUCCUCCUGGUGCUCCUUUGCCUCCUCUCCCUCCUGCUCGACUGUUCCUGUAGCUGGGUGGAAGAGAUCUGAAUUCACUUCCUCCCCCGCUACUGACUGAAAGGGGCUCAGUCAUGCUGUGCUGGUAAAGUGUCGCGGAAAUACUACACAUCGGGUGACUCUAAGUUCUGACACUGUUGCUGUUUGUUUUCUACAAUAAAAUAGUUACUCAUGGAGAAUUGCCAGUGGACUAGAUAAGAUAGAAUAUCCUGUAUGAACCAGA